UACGUAGGGUGCAGGCGUUGAUCGGAAUUACUGGGCGUAAAGCGUGCGUAGGCGGUUUGCUAAGACAGGUGUGAAAUCCCCGGGCUUAACCUGGGAACUGCGCUUGUAACUGGCAAGCUAGAGUGUGGCAGAGGGGGGUGGAAUUCCACGUGUAGCAGUGAAAUGCGUAGAGAUGUGGAGGAACACCGAUGGCGAAGGCAGCCCCCUGGGCCAACACUGACGCUCAGGCACGAAAGCGUGGGGAGCAAACAGG
rnacentral:rRNA from 1 species